rnacentral:rRNA from 1 species
GAUGAACGCUGGCGGCGUGCCUAAUACAUGCAAGUCGAGCGAACAGACGAGGAGCUUGCUCCUCUGACGUUUGCGGCGGACGGGUGAGUAACACGUGGAUAACCUACCUAUAAGACUGGGAUAACUUCGGGAAACCGUAGCUAAUACCGGAUAAUAUAUUGAACCGCAUGGUUCAAUAGUGAAAGACGGUUUUGCUGUCACUUAUAGAUGGAUCCGCGCCGCAUUAGCUAGUUGGUAAGGUAACGGCUUACCAAGGCAACGAUGCGUAGCCGACCUGAGAGGGGGAACGGCCACACGGGAACUGAGACAAGGUCCAGACUCCUACGGGAGGCAGCAGUAGGGAAUGUUCCGCAAUGGGAGAAAGCCUGACGGAGCAAGGCCGCGUGAGUGAUGAAGGUCUUCGGAUCGUAAAACUCUGUUAUUAGGGAAGAACAAAUGUGUAAGUAAAUAUGCACGUCUUGACGGUACCUAAACAGAAAGCAACGGCUAACUACGUG